rnacentral:rRNA from 1 species
CCUACGGGCGGCAGCAGUGAGGAAUAUUGGUCAAUGGGCGGGAGCCUGAACCAGCCAAGCCGCGUGAAGGAAGAAGGCGCCAGGCGUCGUAAACUUCUUUUGUCGGGGAACAAAGGGCGCCACGCGUGGCGUUGUGAGUGUACCCGAAGAAAAAGCAUCGGCUAACUCCGUGCCAGCAGCCGCGGUAAUACGGAGGAUGCGAGCGUUAUCCGGAUUUAUUGGGUUUAAAGGGUGCGUAGGCGGUCCGGAAAGUCAGCGGGAAAAGCCCGGGGCUCAACCCCGGCGAGCCGUGGAAACUGUCGGACUAGAGACGGCGAGAGGUACGCGGAAUGCGCGGUGUAGCGGUGAAAUGCAUAGAUAUCGCGAAGAACUCCGAUUGCGAAGGCAGCGUACCGGCGCCGUACUGACGCUGAGGCACGAAAGCGUGGGUAUCGAACAGGAUUAGAUACCCGGGUAGUC